rnacentral:rRNA from 1 species
UACGUAGGGUGCAAGCGUUGUCCGGAAUUAUUGGGCGUAAAGAGUUCGUAGGCGGUUUGUCGCGUCUGCUGUGAAAACCCGAGGCUCAACCUCGGGCCUGCAGUGGGUACGGGCAGACUAGAGUGCGGUAGGGGAGAUUGGAAUUCCUGGUGUAGCGGUGGAAUGCGCAGAUAUCAGGAGGAACACCGAUGGCGAAGGCAGAUCUCUGGGCCGUAACUGACGCUGAGGAGCGAAAGCGUGGGGAGCAAACAGG